rnacentral:rRNA from 1 species
GGGUUGUGAGGUUAAGCGACUAAGCGUACACGGUGGAUGCCCUGGCAGUCAGAGGCGAUGAAGGGCGUGCUAAUCUGCGAUAAGCGCCGGUAAGGUGAUAUGAACCGUUAUAACCGGCGAUACCCGAAUGGGGAAACCCAGUGUGAUUCGUCACACUAUCAUUAACUGAAUCCAUAGGUUAAUGAGGCGAACCGGGGGAACUGAAACAUCUAAGUACCCCGAGGAAAAGAAAUCAACCGAGAUUCCCCCAGUAGCGGCGAGCGAACGGGGAGGAGCCCAGAGCCUGAAUCAGCAUGUGUGUUAGUGGAAGCGUCUGGAAAGGCGCGCGAUACAGGGUGACAGCCCCGUACACAAAAGCGUAUGUGCUGUGAGCUCGAUGAGUAGGGCGGGACACGUGGUAUCCUGUCUGAAUAUGGGGGGACCAUCCUCCAAGGCUAAAUACUCCUGACUGACCGAUAGUGAACCAGUACCGUGAGGGAAAGGCGAAAAGAACCC